rfam:Otolemur garnettii contig175465, whole genome shotgun sequence.
CCAAAGGCUCUUUUCAGAGCCACCCACGUGGGUAUCCAAAAGAUCU